AUAUAUUUAUUACCAUGCCCUAAUAACCUGAUAAUGAUUCUGUGUUUAUUUAUUCAUAUUGCUUGUUAGGCUUAAAUUCUUGCGUAGCGUAGGGUGUGGGCAUAUUAGUAUAUUCCUCUGGUAUAUUACUCACAGGUCCAAGUGUAUAUCAUUAAUACGGGGAAGCCUUUCUCCUCUCUCUCUCUCUCUAAACCAUUUUUUAAAGUUUCUCUCUCAGCCUUUCCGUCUCACCUUCACCACCACAAAUUCCCAUGGAUGUUGCUUACCACUUACCAGGCAAAUUUUGUGCAAAAGCUAGCUUCUUGCUUAAUAGAAAGAGAUGCAGCUAGAAAACAUAAUUGGAAGAUGCUUAUAAUGAGUAUUAGCUGGUACAUAGUCACUCUUUUGGCUGGUAUUACCAGUUAGAUCUGUAUCUUAGACUCAGGACGUGAUCAGUUCAGCCAAAUCAAAUCUGGUAUGCAACAGUUACUGCUUUACUACACAAACUGUGAUCUUGUGCGUCUCACCUAGCCAUAUGGUCUGUAAUCUUUUACGAAUCCAUUUGAAAAAGACAGAGUUGUAUAGAACAUGAACAUAUGAACCAUUGAAAAUUGAAAAAGAAAUAAUCCACAUGCAUAUCUACAUGAACAUGAACAUACGAACCAUUGAAAGUUGGUCCAGAAACUGGGAUUCAACACUCUCUGCGCUCCAUUUAAUCAACUUAUUAUUGGAUUAAUAAUUGAGUGGUUGGUAAAAGUAGAACAUUUCUCAUCAAACAUUCAUCUCAAAUUAUUUAAGAUCUCUUGUAAUUGCACACUGCAUCAAUAUACCAAACAUUCUCUCCCUAUUUCAGGGAGCACAACAUUUUGUGAACAAAAGUAAUCUUUGACCUUUUCAUAAAUACAAGGAUGCAAGUACAGUGAAAAAACGCGUAUUGGACCACACUUAGUUGACAUUGAACAGAUGCAACUAAAAGGGCAAGAGUAU